UCUUCAAAUAUGAAUGGACUACUGGGUGGAAGAUAAUUAACUAAUCUGUAUUCUUCUAAUUUGAAAUGAAUAAGUUUCAAAGUACUAAGAUAUAGGAUUAGUCAUCCAUUUUUUUUAAAUCAGUUUAACUAGAUGUUUUGUUUGUCGAAUGACAAAAAACUCUUAUUUAGUAUAAAUGAAUAGAUAAUCCUUCCAAUAAUAAUUGGGAGGAUUUUUUA
rnacentral:sRNA from 14 species